AGUGGCGAACGGGUGAGUAACACGUGAGUAACCUGCCCUUGACUCUGGGAUAAGCGUUGGAAACGACGUCUAAUACCGGAUAUGAGCUGCGGCCGCAUGGUCUGCAGUUGGAAAGAAUUUUGGUCAAGGAUGGACUCGCGGCCUAUCAGGUAGUUGGUGAGGUAAUGGCUCACCAAGCCUACGACGGGUAGCCGGCCUGAGAGGGUGACCGGCCACACUGGGACUGAGACACGGCCCAGACUCCUACGGGAGGCAGCAGUGGGGAAUAUUGCACAAUGGGCGCAAGCCUGAUGCAGCAACGCCGCGUGAGGGACGACGGCCUUCGGGUUGUAAACCUCUUUUAGUAGGGAAGAAGCGAAAGUGACGGUACCUGCAGAAAAAGCACCGGCUAACUACGUGCCAGCAGCCGCGGUAAUACGUAGGGUGCAAGCGUUGUCCGGAAUUAUUGGGCGUAAAGAGCUCGUAGGCGGUUUGUCGCGUCUGCUGUGAAAUCUGGGGGCUCAACCCCCAGCCUGCAGUGGGUACGGGCAGACUAGAGUGCGGUAGGGGAGAUUGGAAUUCCUGGUGUAGCGGUGGAAUGCGCAGAUAUCAGGAGGAACACCGAUGGCGAAGGCAGAUCUCUGGGCCGUAACUGACGCUGAGGAGCGAAAGCAUGGGGAGCGAACAGGAUUAGAUACCCUGGUAGUCCAUGCCGUAAACGUUGGGAACUAGAUGUAGGGGCCAUUCCACGGUUUCUGUGUCGCAGCUAACGCAUUAAGUUCCCCGCCUGGGGAGUACGGCCGCAAGGCUAAAACUCAAAGGAAUUGACGGGGGCCCGCACAAGCGGCGGAGCAUGCGGAUUAAUUCGAUGCAACGCGAAGAACCUUACCAAGGCUUGACAUA
rnacentral:rRNA from 1 species